rnacentral:lncRNA from 10 species
CUGACCUCGUGAUCCACCCACCUUGGCCUCCCAAAGUGCUGGUAUUUCAAGUGUGAGCCAGCAAGCCCAGCCUCCCUGAUUUCUUUUUCCUGCCCAUACAUGAGGAUGAAUGUAUUUUUCUUCUGCGGUGGUAAGUCUCUUCCUAAUAAGUUCGUUCCUGCCUCAGGGAUUAACAGGAAUUUAACAUGGGCUGAUCAAUUUUUGUAUAGACCUCUGUCUUUUAAGAUUUUUGCUUUAAAUCUUUUAUCCCUGAGAUAGAAAGUUCUUCUGAAGAACAGGUGAUAGAUACCAGAUGGGAGGGAACGGGAGCGAGCUGCUGCUGAAUCUGUAAGAAGGUUUUAUUCCCUUACUCCUUGUAUACAGUUUGGUCGCUGGUGGCCUAGAGGGUUUGUAAGUUUUACUUCCUUGUGUCUCCUACUGCAGAGUUCUCUGUUGUAAGGUAGACAGCAUGAUUUUUGCCUUUUGUUUCUGCUGCUCUUUGUCCCUACUUAUAUGCUUCUCUAAGAAGUUAGUCUCUGGGACAAUCUUUCCAAUUCUCUAUCUUUUGUAGUUGUUUUUAGAGGUGUUUGGCCAAGUCUUAGUAACAAAAUGAAGCUUUAGCAUCCCUUGCCCCAGUGGGUCUUCCAUUUCUAAACCUGCAUAUUUUCUCAUCUGUUCUUUAAGCCUAUUUAGGAAUUCAUGGGUCCUUCAUCCAUCCCUUGUAUGUUGAAUGCUUGGGAAAUACUCUCAGUUCGGGAUACUGAUGGAACAUUUUGACCGGUAGGGUGUUAAUGUUCCCAGACUACCAAAGCAGCCCUAUGGAUCAUGGUUCUUCUCCCAAGAAGGGAAUGCCUAAAAUGGACAUAAGCUCGGCCCAUACAACUGGGGUCCUAAAAAAUGAUUUGAUCUGCUACCCCAUAAGGGUCAUCUAACAAGGGCUUGAGUUUUUCUUUUUUUUUAGAUUUUGUACUUCUGAGCUGGUUAAGGGGGCAUUUACGAAGCUGAUGCCUCCUCUCCCAAGGGGCACUUCUUCAAGGGGAAGAGAGUUGGGGGCAAUUCUUUGGAGGUGGAAAGGGGAAAGGGAAGUUCUGAGUAUCCUUUUUACAUUGUUCUAUUUCAUGCUGUAGGGCUUAAGUGUGUGGCUAGGGGGAACAUGGGGUAUUGAUUCAGGAUUAUAUGGGGGAGGGACUGAUGAGUGGGGGGAUCCUGUGUACCGGCUUGAUGCAUGGGGUUUGGCAGAGGCAAGUGGUCUGGUGGGUCCCAUAUGUUAGCAGGCUGUUCGGGGGUAGAGACCUUACUCCUUUCAGAGGAGUUGGCUUCUGGCUUGCUUCCUGUAGUUAUGUUUAGUCCUUUCACUAUCCUUUUAGCAUGAGAACCUAGGGGACUGUCAGAGGGGAUGUUACUGUCAUUAAUUUGAUCCUUUCUAUUUACUGUCUUUCUUGAGGUAUUUUGCAUAAUGAAGGUUUGGUGUGAGGCCCAAAAUUAGAUUUAUUGCCUUUCCUCAUAGGCUCAACCUCCCUUACUGGAGAUUUCUUGCCAUUCCUUUCUCUAGAGGGUCAGCCCCUGGCUACUGGAGAUUUCUUGCACUCUUCUCCUUUUGCUUCAUCCUUCUCUGGCUGCUUCCCAGGAGGGAAUAUUUCAGGUCCUCCUUAGCAUUGGUGUGUCAGUAUAAGCCCCAUGACAGGAAUCCACCAUAAGCUAUACGAGGUGACCAUGGAAUCACAGAUCCGGAAUCAUCGCUCGCUUCGCACUCAGUUGUGCGUCUCAUUGACACACUUUCAACCUCUAAAAUGCCCUGACCACCAAGGAAAUACUUUGUCGCCCCUGUGACUUUUCUUAACUUGGUCUGUGCAGUUACCUGGUCACCGCAGUAUGUGAGGAUCCUUUCCGCCUGUGUUGCUGAGAGUCUGGGUUUAUGUGUCACCUUGGGUGGGACCCAAUCUCCUGUUUGUGAGGCCACCGCAAAGAGGUGGUGGGAUGCCUCUCCUCAAGAGAGGUGAUCGUGGGCUUCUCCUGAAGGAGAACGGUAAUCCCAGAUGAGCUCCCAAAUUGUUGGCAAUAAGAGCUCAGAGUUGCAAAGAAAAUGAUCUCCAAAAGAUUUCUCAGCAAGGCAGAUUUACUUCUGCAGAAUGGUGCUGCUUGCACUCCUGGUCACAGUGAGAGCACCCCGAACAAAGGAGGUGAAGUGGUUUUUAUCCCUAACACAGCUAGUUCCUGCUUCUGUGUUCUAUCCCCAUUGGCUAGAGUCCAAUCUAAACUAGUCCUGAUUGGCUAUUUUAAACAGGAGGGGUGUGGGUUACAGCAGUGGGAAGAGCAGUUGCCACGAGCGAGGGAGACUUUUCCAGAUAAGGAACAAAUGCGGGUUACAGGUUGGGAUUGGUGGGAGAAAUGUUUACAGAAUGGGUAAUUAGGAGUGGGAAGGUAUGAGGAAGUUGACCUUAAGAACAAAGAACAAGGAAGUUAAACUUUGAAGAGAAACCCAUCAUACCUAACAGUCUUGUAAGAAAGGAUGACAAAGUGAUUGAACAUUGGGUGGAGCUAAUUUUCCUUGGCCAAUUCACUUAGUAAGAUAAGGAGCUCCAAAUCAUAUUUAAGUUGGGAGUCAAUUGAUUUUACUUAAUUCUUGUGAGGUUCAGUUAUAAGAUUCAUCAUACUACUACCAUGAGCCA